rnacentral:lncRNA from 1 species
GAAAAUACCAGGGGCCUGAGAGCUGGGCAGAGGACAUUUGGUGGUGGUUAUUGAACAUUGUGGACGAGAUGGCAGGGAAGCCACAGCUCACGGAGGUUGGUCACUGACCACUUCAAACGGAUCCUCAAAUAUUUUUCUCGACAUCUCCCAGCACACUCAGCGGCACCCGUCCACCUGCAGGAGCUGACAGACCUCCAGAGUGGGAUUAGACUUCCUUCCUGGGAAUCCAGAGUAGGCCACUUACACUGUGGCCUGCGGCUAGCUGCCUAACCUCUCCACCGCUCAGCUUCUUCGUGUGUAACAUGGAAAAAGUAGUUAAUACUUACUUACCUCAUACGUUUGUUAUGAAGCGCCCAACCUGCUCUAGACUAGUCCCAUUUCUCUGAGAACCUCCUCUGUCAAAGUAGAACACGUAAGACACUUAUGUUCAGCUCAAGUUUCCCCCUUGCUGUUUUUAAGACCAGCCUCUGUGAGCAGCAUAACAGAAUUCAUUGUGUCCUUCACUAAAUCUGGGCACCUUUGGCUGUCUCUGAGCUUGGUCUGUGGAGACCCUGUAAAAGCUCAGACUGUCUGUAUAAUUCUUCCCCAGACACAAUCAUCUGGAUUAUUUAAGAAUGUUCUGGAAUCUGUGAACUAUAAGCUCUUCUUCUUGUCAGGUUGAGAUUUUUCGGAUCCAACUAAUGUUCUCCCCUGGGUACAUCAGUAAGUCAAGAGAGAAAACUUACGAGCAAAGGUAUUUGGUCUCUUUAUGUCCACAACAACAAUAACCAUGAUGACAAACAACAGCAACAAUAAAGACAUUCUUUGCACUUAUGUAGCAUGUACCAUUCUGAAC